rnacentral:rRNA from 1 species
AUUGAACGCUGGCGGCAUGCCUUACACAUGCAAGUCGAACGGCAGCACGGGAGCAAUCCUGGUGGCGAGUGGCGAACGGGUGAGUAAUGUAUCGGAACGUGCCCAGUCGUAGGGGAUAACGUAGCGAAAGCUACGCUAAUACCGCAUACGAUCUAUGGAUGAAAGCGGGGGAUCGCAAGACCUCGCGCGAUUGGAGCGGCCGAUAUCAGAUUAGGUAGUUGGUGGGGUAAAGGCUCACCAAGCCGACGAUCUGUAGCUGGUCUGAGAGGACGACCAGCCACACUGGGACUGAGACACGGCCCAGACUCCUACGGGAGGCAGCAGUGGGGAAUUUUGGACAAUGGGCGCAAGCCUGAUCCAGCAAUGCCGCGUGCAGGAUGAAGGCCUUCGGGUUGUAAACUGCUUUUGUACGGAACGAAACGGCGAGCUCUAAUACAGUUUGCUAAUGACGGUACCGUAAGAAUAAGCACCGGCUAACUACGUGCCAGCAGCCGCCGUAA